rnacentral:tRNA from 1 species
GUGGCGGGUAGCUCAGUGGAUAGAGCGCUAAAACAUCCUUGUUCACACCUUGUCUGAAAAGACCGACGAAUUGAGGGUUAUCGACUUAAGUUCGAGAGGUCGCAGGUUCGAGUCCUGCUCCGCUACACCA